GAUGAACGCUGGCGGCGUGCUUAACACAUGCAAGUCGAACGAAGUUUUACGCUGGAUUGCGCCCUUCGGGGCAAAGUCCUUGUAAAACUUAGUGGCGGACGAGUGAGUAACACGUGGGUAAUCUGCCCGAUACACGGGGAUAAGCACUGGAAACGGUGUCUAAUACCCGAUAAGCCCCCGGCAUCGCAUGGUGCAGAGGGAAAAGAUUUAUCGGUAUCGGAGGAGCCCGCGUCCUGUUAGCUAGUUGGUGAGGUAAAAGCUCACCAAGGCAACGAUGGGUAGCCGACCUGAGAGGGUGAUCGGCCACGCCGGGACUGAGACACGGCCCGGACUCCUACGGGAGGCAGCAGUGAGGGAUAUUGCACAAUGGGCGAAAGCCUGAUGCAGCAACGCCGCGUGAAGGAAGAAGGUCUUCGGAUUGUAAACUUCUAUCGAUGGGGACGAAAAAAAUGACGGUACCCAAGUAAGAAGCCCCGGCUAACUACGUGCCAGCAGCAGCGGUAAAACGUAGGGGGCAAGCGUUAUCCGGAAUUACUGGGUGUAAAGGGUGAGUAGCCGGUUUGGCAAGUCAUGGGUGANAUUCCCUGGUAGUCCACGCUGUAAACGAUGAGUGCUAGGUGUCGGGAUGAGAAUUUCGGUGCCGCAGCUAACGCACUAAGCACUCCACCUGGGGAGUACGGCCGCAAGGUUGAAACUCAAAGGAAUUGACGGGGGCCCGCACAAGCGGUGGAUUAUGUGGUUUAAUUCGAAGCAACGCGAAGAACCUUACCAAGGCUUGACAUCCCAUUGAUCGGUGUAGAGAUACACCUUUCACUUCGGUGACAUUGGUGACAGGUGGUGCAGGGUUGUCGUCAGCUCGUGUCGUGAGAUGUUGGGUUAAGUCCCGCAACGAGCGCAACCCUUGUUUUUAGUAGCCAUCAGGUUAAGCUGGGCACACUAGAGAGACUGCCGUGGAUAACACGGAGGAAGGUGGGGAUGACGUCAAAUCAUCAUGCCCCUUAUGUCUUGGGCAACACACGUAAUACAAUGGCAACUACAAAGAGAUGCAAAGCGGCGACGUGGAGCGAACCUCAAAAAGGUUGUCCCAGUUCGGAUUGUAGUCUGCAACUCGACUGCAUGAAGCUGGAAUCGCUAGUAAUCGCGGAUCAGCAUGCCGCGGUGAAUACGUUCUCGGGCCUUGUACACACCGCCCGUCAAACCACGGGAGUUGGAUGUGCCCAACGUGCAUGACCUAACCGCAAGGAAGGAGUGCCCUAAGGCAAAGCCAGCGACUGGGGUU
rnacentral:rRNA from 1 species